AUGACAACCCUGUCCUCUCUCCCCGCUCCUCUGUCGACGGCGCCGCUGGUGUUCUUGAUGCGGCCGCUGGCGUCGUCAACGCCGAACCGCUUCAGCAGGCUGAUCCCGUCGCCCCACCUGUCCUCCCACCUCCCCCGUCUGUUCCCUCCUCCCUCCUCCAAAACCGUCGAUAUUCGACGUCAUGUUCCCGUUGCCCUGGAUCUCCUCGCCGACAACUACUCUCAGUGGAGGCGCCACUUUGAUACGGUGCUCGGCAUGUUCGGGCUCGGCGCGCACGUCGCCGCCGCGGCGGCGGUCCCUCGCCCCCGUGAUCCUGAGUGGCAGAUGGCCGACCACACCGUCGUCCACUGGCUGUACUCCAAGAUCUCGUCGGAGCUCCAGGAGGCGGUCAUGCAGCCAGAGGACACCGCCUUGGACGUGUGGCGCGCCAUCGACGACAUCUUCCGCAACAAUCAUCUGUCGCGCGCCGUGUACAUCGACGCCGAGUAUCACGCUGUCGUCCAGGGUAACAUGACUGUGAUGCAAUACUGCACCCGGCUCAAGAGCUUCGCCGAUCAGCUCCGCGACCUCGGCCAGCGGUUUUUCACCUCCUCCGCGGUCUCAACCGCCAGUAUCACUCCGUGA
rnacentral:rRNA from 1 species